UUACGGCCAUAUCAGGUUCAAACACCGGUUCCCGUACAAUCACCGAAGUUAAGUAACAUCGAACCUAGUCAGUAACUAGAUGAGUGACCGCUCGGGAAUACCAGAGGAUGUAU